UUUAGUCAGGCAACGAGCGAGACCCACGCCCACAGUUGCCAGCGUACUCUCUGGAGUGACGGGUACACUGUGGGGACCGCCGCUGCUAAAGCGGAGGAAGGAAUGGGCAACGGUAGGUCAGUAUGCCCCGAAUAUCCCGGGCUACACGCGAGCUACAAUGGUUGGUACAAUGGGUAUCUACCCCGAAAGGGGACGGGAAUCUCCUAAAACCAAUCUUAGUUCGGAUUGAGGGCUGCAACUCGCCCUCAUGAAGCUGGAAUCCGUAGUAAUCGCGUUUCAACAGAACGCGGUGAAUACGUCCCUGCUCCUUGCAAA
rnacentral:rRNA from 1 species